GGCCCUAUGGUCAAGCGGUUAAGACACCGCCCUUUCACGGCGGUAACGCGGGUUCGAGUCCCGCUAGGGUCACCA
rnacentral:tRNA from 1 species